UGAGGAAUAUUGGGCAAUGCCCGCAAGGGUGACCCAGCAACGCCGCGUGGAGGAUGAAUGUCGUAAGAUUGUAAACUCCUGUUAGAGGGGAAGAAUAGUACCGGUUGGACCGGUAUAUGACUGUACCCUCAGAGAAAGCUCCGGCUAACUACGUGCCAGCAGCCGCGGUAAUACGUAGGGAGCAAGCGUUGUUCGGAUUUACUGGGCGUAAAGGGCGCGUAGGCGGCGCGGUAAGUCACUUGUGAAAUCUCUGAGCUUAACUCAGAACGGCCAAGUGAUACUGCUGUGCUAGAGUGCGGAAGAGGCAACCGGAAUUCUUGGUGUGGCGGUGAAAUGCGUAGAUAUCAAGAGGAACACCUGAGGCGAAGGCGGGUUGCUGGGCCGACACUGACGCUGAUGCGCGAAAGCCAGGGGAGCAAACG
rnacentral:rRNA from 1 species